rnacentral:rRNA from 1 species
GAUGAACGCUAGCGGCAGGCCUAAUACAUGCAAGUCGAACGGUGUCUUCGGACAUAGUGGCGCACGGGUGCGUAACACGUAUGCAACCUACCUUACAUUGGGGGAUAGCCUUUCGAAAGGGAGAUUAAUACCGCAUAAGACAGUAGCUGGGCAUCCAGCAGCUGUUAAGGAUUUAUAGAUGUAAGCUGGGCAUGCGUCCAAUUAGCUAGUUGGUGAGGUAACGGCUCACCAAGGCAAUGAUUGGUAGGGGAACUGAGAGGUCAAUCCCCCACACUGGCACUGAGAUACGGGCCAGACUCCUACGGGAGGCAGCAGUAGGGAAUAUUGGGCAAUGGACGCAAGUCUGACCCAGCCAUGCCGCGUGCAGGAUGAAGGCGUUAUGCGUUGUAAACUGCUUUUAUACAGGAAGAAACGACUCUUGCGAGAGGCAUUGACGGUACUGUAUGAAUAAGCACCGGCUAACUCCGUGCCAGCCGCCGCAGUAACAC